UCCGGCUCAAAAACAAACGGCUGCGGCGCCUCGGGCUCCGGCUCGAGCGGGUGAUCUCCCGGAGAUCCCGGUGCUGCCCGCCGCUCCGUUAUCAACACACACACACACACACAGUCACAGUCUCACACACACAAUCUCACACACACACACACACACACACACACACACACUGUGGCCACGACCGAGACGCGACGCGACGCGGCGCCGGGUGGGAAGCCCGAGCUGUCAGCGCUCACCGCCGUUAAAACGUCCUCCGGGCUCCUCUCUCGGCCUCCGCGGGGCUCCGCCCGCGCUCUCAGACACACGCCGGGUCUGUGCUCCGCCGCGGCGGGGGUCCGGGCUCCGUUCGGCCGGUACAGCGACAGAAAGUUCCCCGUUGAGGAGAUAAAGGUGUUGAGCGGCAGGAGCCGUGCCGGCGGAAGUCUCGCGUCUCGCCGGUCUCGCGAGAAUACACAUCAAAAGGCGACGUCAUCUCCCUCGUGAGUGACGUGUGGAGAAGGGCGCGUCUGCAGACCCGGGGACCGCAGCGGCAGGACCCGCAGCUGCAGGACCCGCACUGACAGCGCCACCUGCCUGAAACCGUUCAAACACACAGCUUGCCGCUUUAAAUGACAAGAGAUGAGCUCUUCACAGCUCAUCAUCUCUCUCAUUUCCCUUCACCAGUGCAUGCUGAGGCACAGCAGUCAGGCGGUAUCUGAAACUCUCCUGGACACCAGCGAGCGGUUCUCCCUCAGCGUCUCCCCCGCCUGGCGCCAAAGCCAGCCCGACAGCGUCCACUCACCAUGUGA